CUUAACAGGAAUUUAUAAUGGUGAGCAUUCCGAUCUUCAGUCGAGCUAUGACAAUAAUCCCCCGCCAGAGGGCAGCAUCAAUCUGCCAGCUGGCAACACUGUCCGUGCAUGAAGGAAUAAUGCUCCAUGUGACAGGCAACACAACUAACCCAGUGUACACAGACACUGCUUGGGUAACUUCAAGGUUUAUUCCCUUGGCGUAAAGAGCGCCCCCUUGGGAACAGUACCCGUAUUGACGAGCGGAACAGUGAUUCGCUACCCAGCCGUCAGUCCCGACUCUCGCCAACUGCGAAAGUAAUUCGUAAUUUCAAGGUGGUCAAAUGUGACGUCAUGCAGUGCCUGGCGUGUCCAACCCAUUGACGGAUUGCACGGCAUUGACUCCAACAUUCCACCGAUUAUGCAAGACUUCAAGAACCUCGUAGUUUGCUGCCUUGAAAGUUGUCCAAUAACAAAAACCUCGUCAGUGGAUAAAAUGAAACGGCUUCCGGUGGUUCUGGCAAGGUCUUCGAGAUCCAAACAAACUCGUCCUUGUUGCAAGGUCGUGCGACAACUCUUGCUUUCAAAAUGAAUUUUUUGGGUCGGAUUACUGACAAAGACAGACGGCUGUUUCAUUCAUGAUUGAGUGACGUGAAAAAUGAGCAGACCAAAACUUCAUAGGAAAUAGUGUGAGUGGCGCACCAGUAAUAAGUCUGUUGCAGUUAACACCAUAAAAGAUGUAGAGUUUCUUCUUGACAAGGAUAGAAUUCUAUCAUCAAUCCGGGCGCAAAAUUUGGCCUUUCCAACGGGGAUGGGGCUAUCCAGAUGUAUUGUGCAAUUGAGCACGAUAGAUUAACAUGUGCAUAUUGCGGCAGUAUCUGCAUAUUCUGAUUGGCCAGUUCUGGAUUUAAAUUUUUUGUGGAAGUCGGAAUUCUUGUCCUGCCAGGGGGGUUUGAUUCCCCACAUGCAGGGGAGCCUGCCUCGGCCUCAAAACCAGUUCGCUGUGCCCACAUGGGGCCGAGCUUAAAUAAAUUGAAUGGAAGAAAUAGACUUGCAAUUUGUUCUCGCAAAUUUCGUAAAAAAUUCAAAGGAAGAUAGUUGUUUGUUUUGGGCCCAUUAUAUGUAUGGUGUAUUGCUCCAAACUUCGGUCUAAAUGUCAGUGCUAAAAUUCAAAAUGUUCGAAAUUCGAAAUCAGGAUUUGAAUAAUUGAAUACAAAAUGUUCUUAUAGAUGAUAAUCAAUUUAUUUGAAACAAGUCAGUGUGAAGUGUUGUUGAAUUCAUGACACGUGAUUAGUUCCAAACAAAAAUCAUUUGAAAACUUUCAAAAGGGCAAAGACACAUAAAAAGAACUGAAUUAAAUUUCAGACGAUUCAUUUAAUUGCACUGAGAUCAUUUUUCCGCAUAGUUUCCGUAGUUACGUAACGGAUAAGUCCAGCAUUAAGAUCCCGCAUUUUUAGUCGGACAUAAACUAAUGUACCCGUGGUAACGCCUAAAAAGAAAUUUGUGAUUAAAUGCUUGGGAUAUGACCCAACAUUGAAUACUUACUGGUACUAGGCCCUAAAUGCAUUAUAUUCGUGUUUCAAAUGCUGCUAUACAAAGUGCACAAUGUUAUUAAUCAUCAUCAAUCAAAUUAAGUGGCACUUAUUGGAAGAAUUCUCACGACGUAUACUGUCGUACAUUUCGUUGUAUAUAUUAACAACCACGUGUCAUAAAAAGGAAAAA